AAAAAAGAAGAUUCUCAAGAUUUUAUUCUUUGUACUUGCCUGAGAAUAUUUCGCCUUCCGUCCUCCUUUCCAUUCUUCACCAACUUUAGUUAAACAAUUUGAUAAUUUGUUUACGUCCAGUAUUUAUCCUCAGCACCCGUUUAGAAAGAAGGUAUGUGGAAAGAAUUAAAGAAAGAAAAUGGAGGAAAGAAGGUAUGUGGAAAGAAUCAAAGAAAGAAAAUGGAGGAAACUUUUUGGAAGGGUUGGCAUUUUUUAAGUCAGAACUCGGUGGAUAUAGAUUAAAA
rnacentral:misc_RNA from 1 species